UCCCAUUCCGUAAACCAUGAACCAAAAGAAAACAAAAAAAUAUCAACCUGUUCUAGUGUCCCCACCAUCGCGAAAUCAAGGUGUGACACCAGAAAUCAUGUUAGUGUGUCAACCAGAGAAGAUGAAGAAGAACAAAAAGUUGUCAACCUGUUCAUCACCCCUAACCACUGCGAAAUCCGACAGUGAUGCCGGAAAUCAUGUCGGCGUGGUAAUCGGAGAAGAAGAAGAAGUGCUACUUCGAGGAGUCACCAUCGUCACCUCGCUGUUGGCAUUAUGGAGGCUCCACCAUCAUGACCAAGCCGCGUCCAAGCAGAGACGCACUCCUCCCACAGACGAGACCAUAAAACGCCCAUUACCGUCGCAAAACCAC
rnacentral:lncRNA from 1 species